rnacentral:miRNA from 14 species
GGUCUCACUUUGUGAACCAGGCUGGCCUCAAAUUCACAGAGAUCUGCCUGCCUCUGCCUCCCGAGCACUGGGAU